rnacentral:rRNA from 1 species
CGAACGAAGCACCUUGAUUUGAUUCUUCGGAUGAAGAUCUUGGUGACUGAGUGGCGGACGGGUGAGUAACGCGUGGGUAACCUGCCUCAUACAGGGGGAUAACAGUUAGAAAUGACUGCUAAUACCGCAUAAGACCACAGCACCGCAUGGUGCAGGGGUAAAAACUCCGGUGGUAUGAGAUGGACCCGCGUCUGAUUAGGUAGUUGGUGGGGUAACGGCCUACCAAGCCGACGAUCAGUAGCCGACCUGAGAGGGUGACCGGCCACAUUGGGACUGAGACACGGCCCAAACUCCUACGGGAGGCAGCAGUGGGGAAUAUUGCACAAUGGGGGAAACCCUGAUGCAGCGACGCCGCGUGAGCGAUGAAGUAUUUCGGUAUGUAAAGCUCUAUCAGCAGGGAAGAAAAUGACGGUACCUGACUAAGAAGCACCGGCUAAAUACGUGCCAGCAGCCGCGGUAAUACGUAUGGUGCAAGCGUUAUCCGGAUUUACUGGGUGUAAAGGGAGCGUAGACGGAGUGGCAAGUCUGAUGUGAAAACCCGGGGCUCAACCCCGGGACUGCAUUGGAAACUGUCAAUCUAGAGUACCGGAGAGGUAAGCGGAAUUCCUAGUGUAGCGGUGAAAUGCGUAGAUAUUAGGAGGAACACCAGUGGCGAAGGCGGCUUACUGGACGG